rnacentral:rRNA from 1 species
GAUGAACGCUAGCGGCAGGCCUAACACAUGCAAGUCGAGGGGCAGCGGGAAAAAGCUUGCUUUUUUGCCGGCGACCGGCGCACGGGUGCGGAACGCGUAUGGAACCUGCCCCUGUCAGGGGAAUAGCCCAGGGAAACUUGGAUUAAUGCCCCAUGGUACCGUUACAUCGCAUGAUGUUUCGGUUAAAGAUUUAUCGGACAGGGAUGGCCAUGCGUACCAUUAGUUAGUUGGCGGGGUAACGCCCACCAAGGCAGCGAUGGUUAGGGGCCCUGAGAGGGGAUCCC